GUUGCUCCUAGGCAACAUAUUUAUUAAAAAUUUAAAUGACACAGUGAAGACAAGCAUGUCUCUUGUGCAAGGAUAACAUGCACAUUUGUGAAGUGUUCCAUAAUUAA
ensembl:snRNA U6 U6 spliceosomal RNA